rnacentral:rRNA from 1 species
AGGACGAACGCUGGCGGCGUGCUUAACACAUGCAAGUCACGGGGGUCCCGCAAGGGAUAACCGGCGAACGGGUGCGUAACACGUGAACAACCUGCCCUCGUGUGGGGGAUAGCCGGGCUAACGCCCGGGUAAUACCGCAUACGUUCUCUUUGGGGAGUCCCGAGGAGAGGGAAGCUCCGGCGCACGGGGAGGGUUCGCGGCCUAUCAGCUAGUUGGCGGGGUAAUGGCCCACCAAGGCGACGACGGGUAGC